UACGAAGGGGGCUAGCGUUGCUCGGAUUGACUGGGCGUAAAGGGCGCGUAGGCGGUUUGUACAGUCAGGCGUGAAAUUCCUGGGCUCAACCUGGGGGCUGCGUUUGAUGCGUGCAGACUUGAGUUCGGAAGAGGGUCGUGGAAUUCCCAGUGUAGAGGUGAAAUUCGUAGAUAUUCGCAAGAACACCAGUGGCGAAGGCGGCUCACUGGCCCGGUACUGACGCUGAGGUGCGAAAGCGUGGGGAGCAAACAGG
rnacentral:rRNA from 1 species